rnacentral:rRNA from 1 species
AUUGAACGCUGGCGGCAUGCCUUACACAUGCAAGUCGAACGGUAACAGGUCUUCGGAUGCUGACGAGUGGCGAACGGGUGAGUAAUGCAUCGGAACGUGCCCAGUAGUGGGGGAUAGCCCGGCGAAAGCCGGAUUAAUACCGCAUACGACCUGAGGGUGAACGGGGGGGAUCGCAAGACCUCUCGCUAUUGGAUCGGCCGAUGGCAGAUUAGCUAGUUGGUGGGGUAAAGGCCUACCAAGGCAACGAUCUGUAGGUGGUCUGAGAGGACGACCAGCCACACUGGGACUGAGACACGGCCCAGACUCCUACGGGAGGCAGCAGUGGGGAAUUUUGGACAAUGGGCGCAAGCCUGAUCCAGCACUGCCGCGUGCAGGAAGAAGGCCUUCGGGUUGUAAACUGCUUUUGUCAGGGAAGAAAUCUUCUGGGUUAAUACCUCGGGAGGAUGACGGUACCUGAAGAAUAAGCACCGGCUAACUACGUGCCAGCCGCCGCCGUAACAC